CGAAAAGUACUAUCAAUUAAAUAAAAUGGUGAAACAAAAGAAUAGCGAAGAAGAAGCAAAUGCGCUUCACGCUAAUUCCAAGUACCAACACAAAACAAAUUCAAUGUUUGGUGAAGCAACUUGCUUAGUGGCGGACGGGUGAGUAACGCGUGAACAAUCUGCCCCGUACAAAGGGAUAGCCUCGGGAAACCGGGAUUAAAACCAUAUAACACUUAACUGCCGCAUGGUAGUGAAGUCAAAUCGAGUAAGAGGUAUGGGAUGAGUUCGCGUCUGAUUAGCUAGUUGGUGAGGUAAGGGCUCACCAAGGCGACGAUCAGUAGCCGGCCUGAGAGGGUGAACGGCCACACUGGAACUGAGACACGGUCCAGACUCCUACGGGAGGCAGCAGUGGGGAAUAUUGCACAAUGGAGGGAACUCUGAUGCAGCGACGCCGCGUGAGUGAAGAAGGUCUUCGGAUCGUAAAACUCUGUCCUUGGUGAAGAAAAGGACGGUAGCCAAGGAGGAAGCCCCGGCUAACUACGUG
rnacentral:rRNA from 1 species